rnacentral:rRNA from 1 species
UACGUAGGGUGCGAGCGUUGUCCGGAAUUAUUGGGCGUAAAGAACUUGUAGGCGGUUUGUCGCGUCUGCUGUGAAAAUCCGGGGCUCAACCCCGGACUUGCAGUGGGUACGGGCAGACUGGAGUGUGGUAGGGGAGACUGGAAUUCCUGGUGUAGCGGUGGAAUGCGCAGAUAUCAGGAGGAACACCGAUGGCGAAGGCAGGUCUCUGGGCCACUACUGACGCUGAGAAGCGAAAGCAUGGGGAGCGAACAGG